GUCCUCGUAGCUUAAACAAAGCAUGGCACUGAAGAUGCCAAGACGGCUAGCCACACUACCCGAGGACA
rnacentral:tRNA from 2 species